rnacentral:lncRNA from 1 species
CCCGGGGCACACCCCGACCCCCCUCGCCCCUCUCCUGGGGACCCCCAGCCUCAGCUCGGGGGGCCCCGGUGACUCCUCCCCGCUGUCCCCAGCCCCCCCCACGCGUGACAGGGCCCCGCGGACGCCGCCGUGGGGUGACCUUGGGCCGUGCCUCAGUUUCCCCCCACGGGGCUGGGAUGGUGCUGCGGGGGGGGGCGAGGCUCAGCCCCUCAGUGCGGGGGGGGCACAGCCCGAUGCCGACCCCCGCUGGGUCCCGGGGUGGCGGCGGUGACCCCAGGCGAUGUCCCCGAAGUGCCCCGUGCCCCCCGGGGCCGGGCCGGAGCCCCCCGGCUGUGCCAGGCCCGCGGCCCGGGCGGUGGCGGCUGCCGAGAGCCGCGGCCGGGCCGCUCCCCCCGCUCCAUCCUCAUCCUCCGCUGCGUCCUUCAUCCCCCGCUCCAUCCUCAUCCUCCGCUCCGUCCUUCAUCCCCCGCUCCAUCCUCAUCCUCCGCUCCGUCCUUCAUCCCCCUGCUCCAUCCUCAUCCUCCGGCUGCGUUCUUCAUACCCCGCUCCAUCCUCAUCCUCCGCUCCGUCCUUCAUCCCCCGCUCCAUCCUCAUCCUCCGGCUCCAUCAUUGACCUUCUGUCCUUCAUCCCCCACCUCGAUCCGCCUUCCCCCUGCUCCAUCCUCAUCCUCCCUUCCUGCAGCCCUCCCUGCUCCGUCCUUCAUCCCCCGCUCCAUCCUCAUCCUCCCUGCUCCGUCCUUCAUCCCCCGCUCCAUCCUCAUCCUCCCUGCUCCGUCCUUCAUCCCACCCGCUCCAUCCUCCUGUUCCAUCCUCAUCCUCCUGCUCCCUCCUUUCCGCUCCGUCCUUCAUCCUUCCGGCUCCGUCCUUCAUCCCCCCCGCUCCAUCCUCAUCCCAUCCUCGGGCUGCAUCCCGCACCCCCCUCCCCGCGCUUCCAUUCUUCCCGCGCCCUCCUCAUCCUCCCGGCUCCUUCCUCAUCCUCCCGGCUCCUUCCUCAUCUUCCCGGCUCCUUCCUCAUCUUCCCGGCUCCCUCCUCAUCCUCCGGCUGCGUCCUUCAUCCUCCCGCUCCCUCCUCAUCCUCCCGGCUCCUUCCUCAUCUUCUCGACUCCUUCCUCAUCUUCUCGGCUCCUUCCUCAUCUUCCCAACUCCCUCCUCAUCCUCCGGCUGCGUCCUUCAUCCUCCCGGCUCCCUCCUCAUCCUCCAGGCUCCCUCCUCAUUCUCCCGCUCCCUCCUCAUCCUCCCGCUCCCCGGCCUCACCUGGCUCCGCUCCCUCCGGCAUCCCGUUCUGCGGCUCCGAGCCGCCCCCCCGGCGGCUUUCAGGGGCUCCGGGCCCGGCGCUGCCCGCGGCC